GCACCUCUAGCUCAGUUGGUAGAGCACCUGACUCUUAAUCAGGGUGUCCAGAGUUCGAGCCUCUGGAGGUGCACCA
rnacentral:tRNA from 1 species